rnacentral:rRNA from 1 species
AUAGGGGAGCCGGAGGGAAACCGAGUCUUAACCGGGCGUUAAGUUGCAGGGUAUAGACCCGAAACCCGGUGAUCUAGCCAUGGGCAGGUUGAAGGUUGGGUAACACUAACUGGAGGACCGAACCGACUAAUGUUGAAAAAUUAGCGGAUGACCUGUGGCUGGGGGUGAAAGGCCAAUCAAACCGGGAGAUAGCUGGUUCUCCCCGAAAGCUAUUUAGGUAGCGCCUCGUGAAUUCAUCUCCGGGGGUAGAGCACUGUUUCGGCUAGGGGGCCAUCCCGGCUUACCAACCCGAUGCAAACUGCGAAUACCGGAGAAUGUUAUCACGGGAGACACACGGCGGGUGCUAACGUCCGUCGUGAAGAGGGAAACAACCCAGACCGCCAGCUAAGGUCCCAAAGUCAUGGUUAAGUGGGAAACGAUGUGGGAAGGCCCAGACAGCCAGGAUGUUGGCUUAGAAGCAGCCAUCAUUUAAAGAAAGCGUAAUAGCUCACUGGUCGAGUCGGCCUGCGCGGAAGAUGUAACGGGGCUAAACCAUGCACCGAAGCUGCGGCAGCGAACGUAUCACUUAAAGCGAUUCAGCGGGUUACGAUUGACGGAGCGAAGCGACGUCAAAGCGUAUACAAAGUCGAGUCGGUUUAAGGAUACGUUCGUUGGGUAGGGGAGCGUUCUGUAAGCCUGUGAAGGUGUGUCGUGAGGCAUGCUGGAGGUAUCAGAAGUGCGAAUGCUGACAUAAGUAACGAUAAAGCGGGUGAAAAGCCCGCUCGCCGGAAGACCAAGGGUUCCUGUCCAACGUUAAUCGGGGCAGGGUGAGUCGACCCCUAAGGCGAGGCCGAAAGGCGUAGUCGAUGGGAAACGGGUUAAUAUUCCCGUACUUGGUGUUACUGCGAAGGGGGGACGGAGAAGGCUAUGUUGGCCGGGCGACGGUUGUCCCGGUUUAAGCGUGUAGGUGUGUGUUCCAGGUAAAUCCGGUUCACUUUAACACUGAGGCGUGACGACGAGGCACUACGGUGCUGAAGCAACAAAUGCCCUGCUUCCAGGAAAAGCCUCUAAGCAUCAGGUAACAUCAAAUCGUACCCCAAACCGACACAGGUGGUCAGGUAGAGAAUACCAAGGCGCUUGAGAGAACUCGGGUGAAGGAACUAGGCAAAAUGGUGCCGUAACUUCGGGAGAAGGCACGCUGACACGUAGGUGAAGUGAUUUACUCAUGGAGCUGAAGUCAGUCGAAGAUACCAGCUGGCUGCAACUGUUUAUUAAAAACACAGCACUGUGCAAACACGAAAGUGGACGUAUACGGUGUGACGCCUGCCCGGUGCCGGAAGGUUAAUUGAUGGGGUCAGCGCAAGCGAAGCUCCUGAUCGAAGCCCCGGUAAACGGCGGCCGUAACUAUAACGGUCCUAAGGUAGCGAAAUUCCUUGUCGGGUAAGUUCCGACCUGCACGAAUGGCGUAAUGAUGGCCAGGCUGUCUCCACCCGAGACUCAGUGAAAUUGAACUCGCUGUGAAGAUGCAGUGUACCCGCGGCAAGACGGAAAGACCCCGUGAACCUUUACUAUAGCUUGACACUGAACAUUGAGCCUUGAUGUGUAGGAUAGGUGGGAGGCUUUGAAGCGUGGACGCCAGUCUGCGUGGAGCCGACCUUGAAAUACCACCCUUUAAUGUUUGAUGUUCUAACGUGGACCCGUGAUCCGGGUUGCGGACAGUGUCUGGUGGGUAGUUUGACUGGGGCGGUCUCCUCCUAAAGAGUAACGGAGGAGCACGAAGGUUGGCUAAUCCUGGUCGGACAUCAGGAGGUUAGUGCAAUGGCAUAAGCCAGCUUGACUGCGAGCGUGACGGCGCGAGCAGGUGCGAAAGCAGGUCAUAGUGAUCCGGUGGUUCUGAAUGGAAGGGCCAUCGCUCAACGGAUAAAAGGUACUCCGGGGAUAACAGGCUGAUACCGCCCAAGAGUUCAUAUCGACGGCGGUGUUUGGCACCUCGAUGUCGGCUCAUCACAUCCUGGGGCUGAAGUAGGUCCCAAGGGUAUGGCUGUUCGCCAUUUAAAGUGGUACGCGAGCUGGGUUUAGAACGUCGUGAGACAGUUCGGUCCCUAUCUGCCGUGGGCGCUGGAGAACUGAGGGGGGCUGCUCCUAGUACGAGAGGACCGGAGUGGACGCAUCACUGGUGUUCGGGUUGUCAUGCCAAUGGCACUGCCCGGUAGCUAAAUGCGGAAGAGAUAAGUGCUGAAAGCAUCUAAGCACGAAACUUGCCCCGAGAUGAGUUCUCCCUGAGACUUAAAGUCUCCUGAAGGAACGUUGAAGACGACGACGUUGAUAGGCCGGGUGUGUAAGCGCAGCGAUGCGUUGAGCUAACCGGUACUAAUGAACCGUGAGGCUUAACCUUACAACGCCGAAG